UAUACACAUUAUAAAAAAGCAAGCACCAUCUUUUUCCUCUUGAAAGUAGACACAAACUCGGUAUUUUUAUAUUUAUAUACUCCAGAAAUCAUGUGGAUUGUGGAGUGGGUAAAUUUGCUUUCAUAUCUACGAAGCAAUUAGAGAAUCUGAAAUGGAAUAGAGAAGACUAAUAACAGCACAGUAGUUCCUGAUGAAGAUCCUAAUUGGUGUGGAUAAAAGGCUGGUUCCUUUGGCUUCGGCAAUGCUUUUUCACCAUUCAGCAUUAGAACUGCAGCUGACAUGUCGGGCCUGUCAUCAGGUCUCUCUUGCACACAUAAAAGCCCUAUCUGAAUACAUCUCAAUACUUCAGCUUCAGCUACAACAAUUGAAUCGCUUAGAGUUUCGUCUAUCAGCUUCAACGGCGUUGUUUCACACCACAUUCUCCAUGCCUAGAGGAAAUGAAAAUUAAGAUUGUGAGUUUUUCAGUUUACUUGUCAAUCAUUGUUGGCAAACUAAUAUUGUCAGAUAUAUAGCCGUGCUAUAGCGUAGCGGAAUUUUGACAAACUAAUAUUGUUUCACCAUACAUGAUCUAUUUAGUAUAAAGUAUUGUCAAAUAGUAGCGCUAUUGCUUUGUAUAAAUAUCUAUUUUCUGUGAUCUUCGCUUGAAAACAGUGUUUUAAAUAGACCAAAACAUGUUGUUUUGAUGGACUAAAGCAUUAGACUUACAUAUCCAAGAAGGUCAAGAUUAUGAUGGUCACUAUAUUCCCUGUUCUUUUUUCCACUUAUCGUCUCUAGUAUAAUAACGCCGAAACUAAAGACAUCAGAUUUCACUGAGAAAAAUCCACGUGCUGCAUACUCUGGAGAUAUGUAACCGCUGAAACAUAAAGAAAAGAUAUGGGACUUAGGAAAAUGGGUAGUGAAUAUUUAUAUUUCAUAAAGCAACAAAAUCAAGUCAUCUAAGCAUGCUUACUGAGUUCCUACUACUUUAUUUGUUUCCACUUCUGCCUCAUCUCCCCAUAAUGUUCUAGCAAGACCAAAGUCUGAUAUUUUAGGAUUCAUAUUUUCACCUAGAAGAAUAUUACUGGUCUUGAGAUCUCUGUGGAUAAUCCUUAAUCUUGAAUCUUCGUGAAGAUAAAGUAGUCCUCGAGCAAUCCCACAAAUAAUUUGAAAUCGUCGAGUCCAACCGAGUAAUUUUUUUCUAGUUUGAUC